UGGGGAAUUGUUCGCAAUGGGCGCAAGCCUGACGACGCAACGCCGCGUGGAGGAUGAAGAUCUUCGGGUCGUAAACUCCUUUCGAUUGGGAAGAAUUCCCCCGGUGUGAACAACACCGGGGGUUGACGGUACCGAGAGAAGAAGCCCCGGCUAACUCCGUGCCAGCAGCCGCGGUAAUACGGGGGGGGCAAGCGUUGUUCGGAAUUACUGGGCGUAAAGGGCUCGUAGGCGGCCAUCUAAGUCAGACGUGAAAUCCCUCGGCUUAACCGGGGAACUGCGUCUGAUACUGGACGGCUUGAGUUUGGGAGAGGGAUGCGGAAUUCCAGGUGUAGCGGUGAAAUGCGUAGAUAUCUGGAGGAACACCGGUGGCGAAGGCGGCAUCCUGGACCAACACUGACGCUGAGGAGCGAAAGCCAGGGGAGCAAACGGGAUUAGAUACCCCCGUAGUCC
rnacentral:rRNA from 1 species